rnacentral:rRNA from 1 species
AGCGAACGCUGGCGGCAGGCUUAACACAUGCAAGUCGAGCGGGCACUUUCGGGUGUCAGCGGCGGACGGGUGAGUAACGCGUGGGAACGUGCCCUCUGGUUCGGAAUAACUCAGGGAAACUUGAGCUAAUACCGGAUACGCCCUUUUGGGGAAAGGCUUGCUGCCGGAGGAUCGGCCCGCGUCUGAUUAGCUAGUUGGUGAGGUAACGGCUCACCAAGGCGACGAUCAGUAGCUGGUCUGAGAGGAUGAUCAGCCACACUGGAACUGAGACACGGCCCAGACUCCUACGGGAGGCAGCAGUGGGGAAUAUUGGACAAUGGGCGCAAGCCUGAUCCAGCCAUGCCGCGUGAGUGAUGAAGGCCUUAGGGUUGUAAAGCUCUUUUAUCCGGGACGAUAAUGACGGUACCGGAGGAAUAAGCCCCGGCUAACUUCGUG